AGGACAUCCAAGCAUGUCCUACAGGCUCUGCUCUUUGUCUAAGUCCUUGUGCUGUAGGGAAGAUGGGGCAUUUUGGACACUGCACUUUUCUCUUGCUCUUGUUUUGGGGUUUCAGGGUUGGGAUGUGGGAUUCUUUUCUCUUUGUUACUACCAGGGCUGGUUCUCACUGAUUUCUUUUAACAAAGUCCUGUCUGCUUUUCUGUUCUGCCUGCAGAGAUCCCAGACAAGUGUGAGAGAUCCCAAGUGAGCUGCGCAUCCCACGAGCAGUUAAACAUCCCAGUUUACACUGCAUUUCCAGACUUCCUUCUGGCCACACUGGUCUCUGGAUGGAAGAAAGGUCGUCACAGAACUUGCCUCUGCUGCUAUGGAGCUCCUCCAGCUAUGGCAUUGGAAGAGGAUGACAUUAGUGUGCCCACAUCACCCCUUCCAGGGAAUCUGGUGAUGCUCCAGAGCUGCACUGACGUUGAUGCUCCUGGGAAGCACCCAAAAAUGACCUCAGCCUAGACGAGGUGACAGUCCCAGGACCUCCUGCAAAAUGUCAUGGCCAUGCCGCCUCUUCCAGGGUCCCGCGCCAGCUCAGGGCUGGCUCUUGAGCAACGACUGAUGGCGAUAGGGGAGGAGGAAGGAGUAUCUGCCCAAACACAGGCUGUUGGAAGCAUUCUCGUAAGCAUUGGUUUCUUCCUCUCAUGGGUACGGCUCCAGCUCUCCUAGGUGCUGACUCGUGUGUGGAGUAGGAUGGGGACAGUGGUGUCCAUAUCAAUGGAUCAUGAGUUUGAUCUGAAGAUGAAUUCAAUCACGGGGGGGCUCAUGAAGUUGAGGCACUGGUCCAGCCGGGUCUCAUGUGCCA